AAGACUGAACACAGACCACUAACCAUGGGGUUUGGGCUCAGCUGGGUUUUCUUUGUUGCUAUUUUAAGAGGUGUCCAGUGUGAGGUGCAGCUGGUGGAGUCUGGGGGAGGCUUGGUGCAGCCUGGGGGGUCUCUGAGACUCUCCUGUUGCAGCCUCUGGAUUCAACUUCAGUAGAUAUGACAUGCACUGGAUCCGCCAGGCUCCAGGGAAAGGACUCGAGUGGUUGGCAGUUAUAUGGUUUGAUGGAAGUCAGAAAUACUAUGCAGACUCGGUGAAGGACCGCUUCACCAUCUCCAGAGACAAUGUCAAGAACAUGGCGUAUCUGCAAAUGAACAGCCUGAGAGUUGAGGACACCGCAGUGUAUUACUGUGAAGCAUACACAGAGAUCUGA